UAAGCGCUGGAACGGCGUCUAAUACUGGAUAUGAGCCCCUAUCGCAUGGUGGGGGUUGGAAAGAUUUUUUGGUCUGGGAUGGGCUCGCGGCCUAUCAGCUUGUUGGUGAGGUAAUGGCUCACCAAGGCGUCGACGGGUAGCCGGCCUGAGAGGGUGACCGGCCACACUGGGACUGAGACACGGCCCAGACUCCUACGGGAGGCAGCAGUGGGGAAUAUUGCACAAUGGGCGGAAGCCUGAUGCAGCAACGCCGCGUGAGGGAUGACGGCCUUCGGGUUGUAAACCUCUUUUAGCAGGGAAGAAGCGAGAGUGACGGUACCUGCAGAAAAAGCGCCGGCUAACUACGUGCCAGCAGCCCCCGGUAAUACGGA
rnacentral:rRNA from 1 species